AUGUUUAUUUUCAGGUCCAUCCACACUCUCUGUAUUUUACUGAUGACAGCAACAGAGGGAUACUCCCUGGACCAGAGGGAGCUUUCAGUCUCACAGACCUCAAAGACGGUGGCCACUAUGAGGUACAAAGGGAGAGCACAGCUGAUCAAGGUUCUCAAGGUCAAAACCCUGCUGCUCGCUUUGCCUUUCGCCGCCCAUCCAGCAGUGCUCUCCCCGUUGCCUCAGGAGCUCUGCCUGCUCCCAGAGCUGUGGGUCCAAAGCUAAACACAAGGAAUGUCUUUAUAGCGGAGGUGGUGGAUGGAAGGCCAGUGACCAGGAAAACGGUUACGGGUACUGUUAAUAGCAUAAGGGAAAAAGUGGUGGAGGCUCUGAGCGACGACGAGCCUAUUGUGCUUGUGGACAGCCAUGCAAAUGAGAUCCUGGACUGUGAGGGAAACACAUUGCAUACAUCUGUAACUGUACGUCCACACCAGAAGCGAAUUGAGCGACCAAAUCGCCGGAAGUCAUUCACUUUCUAUGGGCAAGAGCGACCAAAGCGACCAAAGCGACCAACGCUACCAGCGGCCACA
rnacentral:lncRNA from 1 species